rnacentral:rRNA from 2 species
UAAGUGGGGGAUAACAUUUGGAAACAGAUGCUAAUACCGCAUAGAUCCAAGAACCGCAUGGUUCUUGGCUGAAAGAUGGCGUAAGCUAUCGCUUUUGGAUGGACCCGCGGCGUAUUAGCUAGUUGGUGAGGUAAUGGCUCACCAAGGCGAUGAUACGUAGCCGAACUGAGAGGUUGAUCGGCCACAUUGGGACUGAGACACGGCCCAAACUCCUACGGGAGGCAGCAGUAGGGAAUCUUCCACAAUGGACGCAAGUCUGAUGGAGCAACGCCGCGUGAGUGAAGAAGGCUUUCGGGUCGUAAAACUCUGUUGUUGGAGAAGAAUGGUCGGCAGAGUAACUGUUGUCGGCGUGACGGUAUCCAACCAGAAAGCCACGGCUAACUACGUGCCAGCAGCCGCGGUAAUACGUAGGUGGCAAGCGUUAUCCGGAUUUAUUGGGCGUAAAGCGAGCGCAAGCGGUUUUUUAAGUCUGAUCGUGAAAGCCCUCGGCUUAACCGAGGAAGCGCAUCGGAAACUGGGAAACUUGAGUGCAGAAGAGGACAGUGGAACUCCAUGUGUAGCGGUGAAAUGCGUAGAUAUAUGGAAGAACACCAGUGGCGAAGGCGGCUGUCUGGUCUGUAACAGACGCUGAGGCUCGAAAGCAUGGGUAGCGAACAAGAUUAGAUACCCUGGUAGUCCAUGCCGUAAACGAUGAAUGCUAGGUGUUGGAAGGGUUUCCGCCCUUUCAGUGCCGCAGGCUAACUGCAUUAAGCAUUCCGCCUGGGGAGUACGACCCGCAAGGUUGAAACUCAAAGGAAAUUGACGGGGGCCCGCACAAGCGGUGGAGCAUGUGGUUUAAUUCGAAGCAACGCGAAGAACCUUACCAGGUCUUGACAUCUUCUGAUCACCUGAGAGAUCAGGUUUCCCCUUCGGGGGCAAAAUGACAGGUGGUGCAUGGUUGUCGUCAGCUCGUGUCGUGAGAUGUUGGGUUAAGUCCCGCAACGAGCGCAACCCUUAUGACUAGUUGCCAGCAUUUAGUUGGGCACUACAGUAAGACUGCCGGUGACAAACCGGAGGAAGGUGGGGAUGACGUCAAAUCAUCAUGCCCCUUAUGACCUGGGCUACACACGUGCUACAAUGGAUGGUACAACGAGUUGCGAGACCGCGAGGUCAAGCUAAUCUCUUAAAGCCAUUCUCAGUUCGGACUGUAGGCUGCAACUCGCCUACACGAAGUCGGAAUCGCUAGUAAUCGCGGAUCAGCACGCCGCGGUGAAUACGUUCCCGGGCCUUGUACACACCG